AAAAAAAAUAAAAAACAACCAAAAAUAAUUAACAUUUGCAAAAAUAUCAAUAUUUAGAAGUUAUAUUCUUAUAAAUUGGUACUUUUAAAUGAAAAUGUACAUUGAACAUCUGCAUUCCUGCAUCAAAUUUUGCUAACUUGAUGGAAAAUCUGGACCUUUGAUUCUCUGUUUUUUACAAUCCAAGAUGGAGGAAGACACCCAUACCACCUUAAUAUCUUUGGCAUAUUUAAAGUGUAAUAAAUCUUGCCAAGAAAAAAAAACUAUGCAGUUUUUGGAUGUUACUAGAUUUUUGCUUGAAAAGUGUAGCUCUAGAAAGCUGUGAAUAUUUUGCUUCUGCUUCGAUGUUUAUGUGUAGCUAAUUAUUUUGGUGGAUGCAAAAUUUUGAAAUUGUUUCACUCUUGCAAGAAAAGAUUUUUUUUAAUGUUAAAUGGACAGAAUUUUUCGAAGUGAUUUAAAUCGUAAAUAACUUUCUUUUUUUUCAAAGUUCCCUAAGACCUUAUGCUUAUUCUUGAGUUAAUUUUAAAUCAUUUUAGAUACUCUGAUCAAUAAUGGUUGGUUAGAGGCUAUAAAUAGUAAAUGGCAAAAGUUAGAAGUAAAAAUUUGAAAAAAGGAAAAUUUGCACUCCACCAAAAUUUUCUGCUAUACAGUUCAAGUAAUAAUCUGUGCCAAAUAAUAUCUUGAAAUAUAAUACUCGGUGAAAUACUGUUUUUGUUACACUGCUGAUUUCAAUCAAAUUAUUGUUUUGUUACAUAAAAUUAUCUCCCCUUAAAAAGUUACUUCCCUUUGAAAAUGUGAAUAUUUUGUCAGUUCUGAUCUAGACUGUACAUGGAGUUGAACAUUAAAAACAUUUUAUGAUAUUUGGAAAUCUAAGAUGUGGUUGUAGGAAAGUUCUUGUUUUUCUCUUUGAUAUAGGUCUUAAUUUUAUUGAAAGUUUGAAAAUUUAAAAUUUGAAGGGAAGUAACUCUUGUUUACAGAAUCUAUUAAGCAGAUUUGACUUCAUAUUAUGAAAAAUAUUUAUGCUAUAUAACCAAAACCUUUUAAAUAUAAUGAGGUUGUAAUAAUUUAUUAACUUUUACCCUGCAUAAUUAACAAAAAUAGUAUAAUGCACAUAUGCUUUAACACAUAUUGUUCUCCAUAAAAAAAAUCUGUAUCUUUUCAUGUGCUCAAUCCAUGUACCCCAUUAACUUACAUUUUAACAGUGAAACAUAUACAAAUGAAACUAUACUAUAUACAAUCCAGAAAAUAUUAUGAAUUGGUUUAAUUUUGGUCCAUUAGUAUUUAAACAACAACAAUUCUUAAAAGAUGCUAUAGAAAUGUAAGCUUAUUUCAUAAUUUUCUUAAGCAUUGAAGUUGAAAAAAAUGGUCAAAGUAAGAAAAAUUCAAUUUCAAAAUAUUACCCUCCUUAUUCGUGACUCAAUUCAUGGAACUGUGUAACAAAAAGUUGUGAAAAUGGGAAUAUGUGAAAUUUUUAACUUAAAAUGUUUUGAUUAAUAAAUGUUUCACUGUAUUUAUCAUUGUUUAUAUACCUUUAUAGUUGUGAUAUAUAAUAUCUGUAUGAUAAAUUGUGAUAUAUAUAUAUAUAUAUAUAUAUAUAUAUAUAUAUAUAUAUAUAUAUAUAUAUAUAUAUAUAUAUAUAUAUAUAUAUAUAAGAAAUGUACAGUACAUAAUUAUUUGCAAUAUACACUUGUUAAAAGUUAC
rnacentral:lncRNA from 1 species